rnacentral:lncRNA from 1 species
AGCCCUCGCCCUCGAGGCAGCCACCGGCUAGGCCACGCGGCCAUUCCGCAGCGACUCUUGCCCUGCCAACGAUGCGCCUGCAUGGCGGCGGCCUCCCCGACUCCACCGGCGCCCUCUCUCCAGGGCCGGGCCCACCGAGGAGUCCCAGCCAGGCCUUCGAGGACGCCUCGAAAGUGGCGGCGAGCGUGGCAUGACGGGAAGAAUGGCAUCCACCUGAAGGCCAAGGCUGGGCCUUCGGGGCUUCUGCGGCCUAAGGCGGCGGGUCUGAGCAAGAACACUCUGCCAUCGCCGGCUCGGGACGGGAGGCCCACCCGUGGCCGAGCACGCAGACCUGGAUGA